rnacentral:rRNA from 1 species
GACGAACGCUGGCGGCGUGCCUAAUACAUGCAAGUCGAACGCAUUUUCUUUCACCGUAGCUUGCUACACCGAAAGAAAAUGAGUGGCGAACGGGUGAGUAACACGUGGGUAACCUGCCCAUCAGCGGGGGAUAACACUUGGAAACAGGUGCUAAUACCGCAUAAUUCCAUUUACCGCAUGGUAGAUGGGUGAAAGGCGCUUUUGCGUCACUGAUGGAUGGACCCGCGGUGCAUUAGCUAGUUGGUGGGGUAACGGCCUACCAAGGCUGCGAUGCAUAGCCGCCCUCAAAGGGUGCGCUGCAAAGCUGGGACGAGGAGACGGCCCAGCACACUAGGAGUGGCAGCAGUAGGGAAUCUUCGGGAAUGGCCGCAAUGCUGACCGAGCAACGCCGCGUGAGUGAAGAAGGUUUUCGGAUCGUAAAACUCAGUUGUUAGAGAAGAACGAGGAUGAGAGUGGAAAGUUCAGCCCUUGACGGUAUCUAACCAGAAAGCCACGGCUAACUACGUG